rnacentral:rRNA from 1 species
CCUACGGGCGGCAGCAGUGAGGAAUAUUGGUCAAUGGGCGGGAGCCUGAUCCAGCCAAGCCGCGUGAGGGAAGAAGGUACAGCGUAUCGUAAACCUCUUUUGUCAGGGAACAAAGGCGGGGACUAGUCCCCGGAUGAGGGUACCUGAAGAAAAAGCAUCGGCUAACUCCGUGCCAGCAGCCGCGGUAAUACGGAGGAUGCGAGCGUUAUCCGGUGUUAUGGGGUUAAAGGGGGGCGCAGGCGGCCUGUUAAGUCAGCGGUAAAAGCCCGGGGCUCAACCCCGGCGAGCCGUUGAAACUGGCGGGCUGGAGUUGGAGAGAAGUACGCGGAAUGCGCGGUGUAGCGGUGAAAUGCUUAGAUAUCGCGCAGAACCCCGAUUGCGAAGGCAGCGUGCCGGCUCCACACUGACGCUGAGGCACGAAAGCGUGGGUAUCGAACAGGAUUAGAUACCCGAGUAGUC